rnacentral:lncRNA from 1 species
UUUUAACUUUUGUUUCUAUAGUUAUUGCUUUGUGUUUCCUAGCAGUCCCCUCCACAUCACCACUGGUUUUCCUCUUGCUUCUAGACAUCCUGGGCUCUGAUUGAGCACUGCACUACUGUAUACUAUGGCACUUUACAGUAAGCACGCAGCAGCACAAGUGUAACAGUGUCCAGCAGACAUAUGAGACAACUGAGCCUCAGCGAGAUGAGGAGCCUGCCUGAGCCGCAGGGUGCGCUCCUGGCCACUUCACUGUAUAAGUUCUUAUGUGUCACAGGAAAUGAUGCUUUUCAGCCACCUACCAAACCAGUGACCCUGGAGAUAAAACUAGAUGGUGGAGUUAAAAGACUUUUUGGAAGUCAAAUGUGUGGCAUAAGAAUGUGUACUCCUAAUCAAGAUGAUCCAACAUGGUGGCCAAAGAUCGGUAGCCCUUGCUCUCUGGCCAAAAUGGUCCCCUGAAGAAGGAUACAGACUUGGGCUCCAAACCAGUCAUUCAACACAAGUCUACAUCUUUUUCAGUAAGUUAAACUUUCUCUCAGGCAUCUUAUCUUUAUAUACCUUCACUGGGUGAUGUAGUAAUUUUUGACUCAAGGAAAAAAAAUCAUAGUUAAAAUGAGACUUGCAACAAAUGACAGGACUUCAUUCUUUUAUAUGGCUGUGUAAUAUUCUACUGUGCAUACAACAUCACA